CGACUUAGGGGUUGGAGGGAAGAGGUGAGAGAGGGAGAGGUAGAGGGAGGUCUAGAGCGAGCGGUACCUGGAGGAGCUGCGCCCGGUGGCGGUGAGCAGCCUUGAAGGGCGGCGGCCGCGGCUGUACCUUCCGCGAAGUCACGAAGGCGAGAGGCCUCGACGGAUGGUCGGGAUGCAGAGGCUCGAGGAAAGGAAGAGGUAGCUCGCGGAGGUGUUCCUCGGCCUCGACGACGCCCACCUGCCUCUCGCCCACGCCGCCGUCUACGUCCUUCACCGCCACCUCUUGAUGCGGCGGAAAUAUCGGCGGAGGCUCCGCGAGAGGAAGCACGCCCGUGUCGAGCUCCCCAAGCUGUUCGUGGAGCUCCGUGACCAUCUCCUCUAUGGGUUAAAUUGUAGACCAACGUGGCUCAAACAACUCAGUCGUGUAGUUUAAAACCUUCUCUCCUUCGAGUUAGUCUGUAAUGAUCGGUUGGUGUCAUGGAACGAACUGGACGAACUUUAGGGCGUUGAAUACCUGUGUACGUAUGCCUUACCCUUGAUACUACUCCGUGAGCUAGAUCUUCGAAAACACUCAUUUUAAAGCUUCAACGUGGGACUAAAUGGACAGUAGGUUCCUAAUCGACGACUUCAGUUCUUCUGCUAUGUUAGUGAUUAAAGAGUCGAAGAGGUUUUCGAAGCUAGUUUAUAAGUCAAUGGGCUUACGGAGGCAUAACAGCGUGUAAACGCGGCCUAACCUCACAAGUCACUUAGUCUUAAUGCGGAUGUCAAGGACUCUACGUCCCUUCGAACCGAAAGACCCUAAGAACUACUAGACCUGGUUUCCUUACAUAUACUAAUAGACUUUCCGUACCACAGAACGGUGUCCUGUGUAGAUAAACUACAACAGUUAGUUAUGGCUCGCUAUAAGUUAUUACUAUUUAGGCCUUCACUUCUCUUGUCACUGCCACCCGACGAAAAGUCGACCCGUUACGUGGUUAUAACACGCUACCCAGAACCGGACCAACCUGACCUAAAGGCAACGGACGAAGGUGGUUAAAAACUUUUACGCCAAAAUUUAAAUAAGAGCUUCUUAUACUCAUGUCGCCAACUCUUAAAAGUCCAACAGAACCUAAGUGUAGCAACCCACGGCUACGGUAGAUAACCGAAACAGUGUUUACCUCGACACCUACUAUGAAGACUACUACACUGUGGUGGAAGACAAAACUACCUCGUAGGUGGAGAGCGUCACAAACAAUUACCACAAAGCCGUCGUUACUUACUCGAUUUUGGUACACGAGGUAACUCGAACUUCGUACAGGAACGAGUCCUCCACCACUUUCCUAAUGUUCGUCAAAGACUGAGAGAUCACUCUAUGUUACGGUACGCCUACGACGCACCUUUACUCAGAAGGGAAAAGGAGAGUGAAACGGUUCGUAAAUAACUCCAGCGUAUAGGAAUAACACGACGUACAAAACCUGCUACGAUGGGGUUGCCUCCUCGCGACUAGUGUCUCACGGGGUCGAAUAACCUACGACAGUCGGUUGAUGGAUAUUCUAGGCCAAGCCCCUAGUCGUCGUAACUAGCUUUUGGCAGUCCUCCAUAGCUUUCUUCCGUCAGACCUCCGUAGCUUUCUUUCGUCAGUCCUCCGUAGCUCUCUUCCGUCAGUCCUCCGUAACUUUCUUCCGUCAGCUAGCUCUCACGACCCUGACGCCGGAGACUCUUGCCUGAACAUUGGUUACCGGGGCUCGGUCUCCACUGGUCGCUGCGCCCUUGGUGACGACGUGGUCGACCACGGCUGUGCGUCUGGCUUCGUGGGCGUUUGCGUAUCGGACUUGGCACAACUACCUUAGACAGCUUCAAGAACAAUACAACUCGGUAACGACGUUCCGAUACAAGUAGCUGUCAAACCAAGUAAUAAAAACCAGCACCAGAAUGUCACAUGUGUUCUCUCGCAACCUACAAUUAGACAUGUUAUGUGUUAACCUUUAAAUCGACAAGUACAGAUCGGGUAUGCAUCUACAAUAUCUGGCCUUUAACAAAGCCUGACUGUUAUUCAACUAUUAUACUUCGCUCACGAGAUACAACAACAACUGCCGUGUAGACCAUUACUUCCAGCCUGACCUUCGGUGGGAAUCG
rnacentral:rRNA from 1 species